rnacentral:rRNA from 1 species
UAACGCGUAGGUAACCUGCCUUGUAGCGGGGGAUAACUAUUGGAAACGAUAGCUAAUACCGCAUAACAAUGAAUGACACAUGUCAUUUAUUUGAAAGGGGCAAUUGCUCCACUACAAGAUGGACCUGCGUUGUAUUAGCUAGUAGGUGAGGUAACGGCUCACCUAGGCGACGAUACAUAGCCGACCUGAGAGGGUGAUCGGCCACACUGGGACUGAGACACGGCCCAGACUCCUACGGGAGGCAGCAGUAGGGAAUCUUCGGCAAUGGGGGCAACCCUGGCCGAGCAACGCCGCGUGAGUGAAGAAGGUUUUCGGAUCGUAAAGCUCUGUUGUAAGUCAAGAACGAGUGUGAGAGUGGAAAGUUCACACUGUGACGGUAGCUUACCAGAAAGGGACGGCUAACUACGUGCCAGCAGCCGCGGUAAUACGUAGGUCCCGAGCGUUGUCCGGAUUUAUUGGGCGUAAAGCGAGCGCAGGCGGUUUGAUAAGUCUGAAGUUAAAGGCUGUGGCUCAACCAUAGUUCGCUUUGGAAACUGUCAAACUUGAGUGCAGAAGGGGAGAGUGGAAUUCCAUGUGUAGCGGUGAAAUGCGUAGAUAUAUGGAGGAACACCGGCGGCGAAAGCGGCUCUCUGGUCUGUAUCUGACGCUGAGGCUCGAAAGCGUGGGGAGCGAACAGGAUUAGAUACCCUGGUAGUCCACGCCGUAAACGAUGAGUGCUAGGUG